rnacentral:tRNA from 1 species
AAUGAAGUGUCUGAAAAAGAGCUAUUUUGAUAGGGUAGAAAAUGCGGAUUUUUCCGCCUUCAUUA